AACGAACGCUGGCGGCAGGCUUAACACAUGCAAGUCGAGCGCCCCGCAAGGGGAGCGGCAGACGGGUGAGUAACGCGUGGGAAUCUACCCAUCCCUACGGAACAACUCCGGGAAACUGGAGCUAAUACCGUAUACGCCCUACGGGGGAAAGAUUUAUCGGGGAUGGAUGAGCCCGCGUUGGAUUAGCUAGUUGGUGGGGUAAAGGCCUACCAAGGCGACGAUCCAUAGCUGGUCUGAGAGGAUGAUCAGCCACAUUGGGACUGAGACAUGGACCAAACUCCUACGGGAGGCAGCAGUGGGGAAUAUUGGACAAUGGGCGCAAGCCUGAUCCAGCCAUGCCGCGUGAGUGAUGAAGGCCUUAGGGUUGUAAAGCUCUUUCACCGAUGAAGAUAAUGACGGUAGUCGGAGAAGAAGCCCCAGCUAACUUCGUGCCAGCCGCCGCCGUAA
rnacentral:rRNA from 1 species